rnacentral:misc_RNA from 1 species
CCGACACAAAAUUGUCAGGUGAAGGUGUUUGGUCGCUGCGUCCUUUCUCAAGAAUAAUGUCCAAGAAUUGAUAAAUAUUUAGAGAGUUUUUUACCUCUCAUCUCCACGCCAUUCAAUUCAUCCAUUGGAGGAGGCAGAGACAGAGAGAAAUCCAAUGGAUGCAUUUUGAGAGAUCCUCUGUUGCUUUGAUAAAUUUCUCACCUCUGCCUUUUUACCCCCCCGUGUUUUUAAGGAUGUGAAUAGGUGCCUUUUCGCAUGUGCCUUCUGGGAUUUUAGAGGUUCUCUUCCAUUUCCUUCCUUGCUAGUGGACUGCUGAUACCAGUUCUCUCGACGAAUCUGCUCCUCGUCUUUGAUGGACAAGAGAUCUGCUGGUUGAUUGAAGAAAGUCAGCAAUUGCAAUGGCUAAGGUUUGUUGGCCAUAUUUUGAUCCCGAGUAUGAGAACUUGAGCACUAGA